rnacentral:rRNA from 1 species
CGGCGGACGGGUGAGUAACACGUGGAUAACCUACCUAUAAGACUGGGAUAACUUCGGGAAACCGGAGCUAAUACCGGAUAAUAUAUUGAACCGCAUGGUUCAAUAGUGAAAGACGGUUUUGCUGUCACUUAUAGAUGGAUCCGCGCCGCGUUAGCUAGUUGGUAAGGUAACGGCUUACCAAGGCGACGAUGCGUAGCCGACCUGAGAGGGUGAUCGGCCACACUGGAACUGAGACACGGUCCAG